CUCAAUCAUCAAGCUUUGCAAAUCUCCUUUAAACAAUAACCGUUACAAAAUUAGAUUAGCAAAUCCCAUAAAUUAUUCACACGCUAUUUACAGUUGCAAAAUCUCUGCAAUCUUAUUCACCGUCUAUAUUUUUCAUAAUCUCUCAAUUCCCAUUUACAGUUUCCAUGAACUAUGCCUAAAUCAUCUCUCGAUUUUCAUUGAUUAUGCCUCCAUUAAAGGUCAAUAGUCUAUCAGUCGAUUCUCAUAGUUUCUAGACUCUCGAUCUCAAAAU
rnacentral:lncRNA from 1 species